rnacentral:rRNA from 1 species
CACGUAGGGUGCGAGCGUUGUCCGGAAUUAUUGGGCGUAAAGAGCUCGUAGGCGGUGUGUCGCGUCGGCCGUGAAAACCUGCAGCUUAACUGUGGGCUUGCGGUCGAUACGGGCAUCACUGGAGUUCGGCAGGGGAGACUGGAAUUCCUGGUGUAGCGGUGAAAUGCGCAGAUAUCAGGAGGAACACCGGUGGCGAAGGCGGGUCUCUGGGCCGAUACUGACGCUGGAGGGAGCG